CUCUCUCUCUCUCUUCUUCCUUCUUCCUUUGGACACAAAUUCCAUUUUACUUUUCAUUUUUUUCCACCAUUUUUAAACUCUCGAACUCCUCGCAUUCUCUCUCCUUUCCUCCUCUUCUUCCUCCUCCUCAUCUUCUUCGUCUCGCCAGAUCUCUCUCUGUAAUUGGGGUCAAGUCCGCCGGGCAAUCCCGGCGUUUGCCCCUUCCCCGGGCAUCUCGCCGGCAAUGCCGGCUCAGAUCUACUGUCGUUACCUUGAUGCGCGACUCCGUGUGCUCUUUCUAAUCCUCACACCAACAUUCGGCGGACGAUACCUGUAAUUGAGAGAUGGAGGUGGAGAAAAGACGGACAAAGGGAGGCUUCCUACAGUUUUUCGACUGGAAUAGCAAGUCCAGGAAGAAGCUGUUCUCAAACAGUCCCGAUAUACUUGGUGCUGGAAGGACAAAAAAAUUGAAGAACUGGAGGAUAACCAGCAGCAGCAGCUAUAUCAAAUAAUCAGUACCUGCAGGAAUUCCCAUGACACACAAUAUCAAUCCAGUAAAUGGAAGAACUCAAUAAGACUCUUGAGGUACAACACGGUGCUCAGCUAUAUCAAAUAAUCAGUACCUGCAGGAAUUCCCAUGACAGACAAUGUCAAUCCAACAAAUGGAAGAACUCAGUAAGAUUCUUGAGGUACAACACAGUGCUCAGCUAUAUCAAAUAAUCAGUACCUGCAGGAAUUCCCAUGACACACAAUGUCAAUCCAGCAAAUGGAAGAACUCAGUAAGACUCCUGAGGUACAACACGGUGCUCAUUACGGCAUUGGUAAAACCAAUUAAUGGUGACAAGUUUCUUUAGAACACAUAAAGCCCACUGCACGAGAACAACAAAUUAAUUGAUAAAUACAGUUUAUCUCUCGAGAU